CUGAGCCGCUCUCAGAUCAGCUCUGCAGACCGUCGUCGGGAAUGGUGCGUCUGCCAUCUGCCGGACACCGAGGGUAAAACAUGCACCAGUGCUGUGGACAGCGUGCAGUACACUGAUAUCAGACAGCAAUGGGGAUGUUUGUUGUGCUUCUUACAACUGCAUUGUGACGGUCUGAUGUGGUUACUACGAAUACCUGCUUUAAGGGAAGCCAACCUAAGAGGAAUUUGUGUGAUUUCAAGAGAUCAUUGGCUGAAUGUGAGGAGAUGGAGGCUACAGUUAGGUCGGGGGAAGCUCUCCUCCACUGUUCCCCUACAGUCAGGAGGUACCAGACCAACAGUGUGAAGUCAUGCAUGAGCCCCGCUGGACUGAUCAUCUGUUAUUGCACAGCCAUCUGGGUGAGACCCCAGGCCUGUUUAGAUCUUCAAGCAACAGGAAUGACAUCAAUAUAAAACUCAGAAGAGUCAAACAAAACCUGUCUUAUUCGUUGCUUGAUCCAUCUGCCAUCACCUGAAAAACAAACUCUUCUGCACUGAUACCUUCUAUAAACUUGAAGUUAACAGUAACACCUCAUGAAAGUGAGCCUCAUGUUCCCUCUAUUUCACUGCUGAGGCAGGUAUUAGCCAAUAAUAAUACAGCAUGUGGUGCAGUUUAAUACAAAAUAAAACCAAGUCUCCUUUUAUCACACAUCAGCUAAGUGCCACAUAGUCAAAAGAUCCGAUCUCAAAUCUGGCCUAUCUAGCCAUUGGCUUACGCAGCUAAUUAACUUCACACACCAAAAUUUGAAUUUAAAUUAACGAUUGCAAGAUAUCAUCAGGGGACACAAACCACCCCACGAAGAAGUUUAUGAUGAAAAAAAGAUGAGUAUUAGAGAAGGCAAUCGGUGAAGUAAGGAGGGCUUUUAGAUGAGGGGAUAUCUCCAAUUACAAUCCACCGUACACUUGUCAGCAGUAAUGAAAUGUUUGCUGAGAGGUUGCUAUUUGUGGCUGCUAGAUUGGAUGAUGCUGCUCCACUGCCCCCACUAACAAUUAUAUUCCAUGCAUAAAUUUCCCUAGCAUCUCUUGUAUUGUGAACUGUUGGCCAGAUAUACCUACAACUGUCCAAGAAGCCACAGAAUAAUGAAACAUUAUCGUGCGCGUACAGUAGACAUGAUAUUCAACUCCUGCGGAGAAAAUGCAUAAUGUAUCUCAAGAGGCACAGAGCAAGAAGAAUAAAAGGAAAAAAAAGGAAAAACUUCUGCUUCUUUUAUUGUUUUUAAAGAAUUACAUAAUGCAUUAAUCACAGUAAAGACAAACCGGCUUUCCCCGCAUGUCAUAAUUGUGCAAGCUUACAAUUAAAUGUAAAAUUAGAUGUAAGAUGUAAAACUUCUGUUUUUUUUUUUCCUCUGCUCAGCCUUUCAAC